AACGAACGCUGGCGGCAUGCCUAACACAUGCAAGUCGAACGAAGCCUUCGGGCUUAGUGGCGCGCGGGUGCGUAACGCGUGGGAAUCUGCCCUUAGGUACGGAAUAACUCAGGGAAACUUGUGCUAAUACCGUAUGAUGUCGAGAGACCAAAGAUUUAUCGCCUAGGGAUGAGCCCGCGUAGGAUUAGCUAGUUGGUGGGGUAAAGGCUCACCAAGGCGACGAUCCUUAGCUGGUCUGAGAGGAUGAUCAGCCACACUGGGACUGAGACACGGCCCAGACUCCUACGGGAGGCAGCAGUGGGAAUAUUGGACAAUGGGCGAAAGCCUGAUCCAGCAAUGCCGCGUGAGUGAUGGAAGGCCUUAGGGUUGUAAAGCUCUUUUACCC
rnacentral:rRNA from 1 species